rnacentral:rRNA from 1 species
UACGGAGGGUGCGAGCGUUGUCCGGAAUCACUGGGCGUAAAGAGCGUGUAGGCGGCCCGGUAAGUCCGCUGUAAAAGUCAAAGGCUCAACCUUUGAAUGUCAGUGGAUACUGCCGGGCUAGAGUCCGGAAGAGGCGAGUGGAACUCCUGGUGGUAGCGGUGAAAUGCGUAGAUAGUCAGGAGGAACACCGGUGGUGUAGACGGCGUCUCUGGACCGUAACUGACGCUGAGGCACGAAAGCGUGGGUAGCAAACAGG